rfam:Ktedonobacter sp. 13_2_20CM_2_56_8 13_2_20cm_2_scaffold_552, whole genome shotgun sequence.
GUCACGAACCCCCGGAUGACAUCCGGGGGCUUGCAGCCAGAACGCUCGUCGUUCGCGUUGCAAGCUCCAUAGUGUCCAGCCUUAGCGUCCAAUGGCGCAGGCCGCCAAAUACGGACGCUCCGUUCGACGGGUCAUGGCACCCAGGGACGCCUCCUCAAUCCCUGGCCCUGCCGUCCAGGGUUAAAAGGUUCGCAGGGGUCGAGCCGGUGCUCUGGACCCAUCAAGCCCGUUGACCAUUGGCGAGAGGAGCAUCUU